GCUCAGCUAUAAACUUAGGCGUUAUUUUACAAUAAACGCCCGCCAGGGUACUACGAGCAUUAGCUUAAAACCCAAAGGACUUGGCGGUGCCUUAGACCCCCCUAGAGGAGCCUGUUCUAGAACCGAUAACCCCCGUUAAACCUCACCACUUCUGGCCAUCCCCGCCUAUAUACCGCCGUCGUCAGCUUACCCUGUGAAGGAUAAAUAGUAAGCAAAGUGAAUAUAAUUCAAAACGUCAGGUCGAGGUGUAGCGAACGAAGUGGGAAGAAAUGGGCUACAUUUUCUUUAAUAAGAAUAUUACGGACAACACUAUGAAAACUUAGUGCUCGAAGGAGGAUUUAGUAGUAAAAAGGAAAUAGAGUGUCCUUUUGAACCCGGCUCUGAGGCGCGU
rnacentral:rRNA from 1 species